AGUGAACGCUGGCGGUAGGCCUAACACAUGCAAGUCGAACGGCAGCACAGUAAGAGCUUGCUCUUACGGGUGGCGAGUGGCGGACGGGUGAGGAAUACAUCGGAAUCUACUUUUUCGUGGGGGAUAACGUAGGGAAACUUACGCUAAUACCGCAUACGACCUACGGGUGAAAGCAGGGGAUCUUCGGACUUUGCGCGAUUGAAUGAGCCGAUGUCGGAUUAGCUAGUUGGCGGGGUAAAGGCCCACCAAGGCGACGAUCCGUAGCUGGUCUGAGAGGAUGUUCAGCCACACUGGAACUGAGACACGGUCCAGACUCCUACGGGAGGCAGCAGUGGGGAAUAUUGGACAAUGGGCGCAAGCCUGAUCCAGCCAUACCGCGUGGGUGAAGAAGGCCUUCGGGUUGUAAAGCCCUUUUGUUGGGAAAGAAAAGCAGCAGGUUAAUACCCCGCUGUUCUGACGGUACCCAAAGAAUAAGCACCGGCUAACUUCGUG
rnacentral:rRNA from 1 species